rnacentral:rRNA from 1 species
AUGCAAGACCACCUUAGACGUAUCCAGAACAAAGAAAUUCAUUACCAUUAUCUUAGUCAUAAAAUUCAGAACGAGUUGAUAUCUCUUUUGGCUGCUAACAUCACAUGUUCUAUUAUAAAGGUUGUUAAAGAGGCCAAGUAUUUCUCUAUUAUCCUAGAUUGUACCCCUGAUGACACUUCUGGCUUAGGGAUUUUUAAAGUACUUCUUGAAUCUAUGGAGACUUUUGGCUUAAAUAUUAAUGAUAUAAGGGGUCAAGGAUAUGACAAUGGUUCUAACAUGAAAGGAAAAUACCGAGGGGUAUAAUCUAGGUUACUUGAUGUGAAUCCAAGAGCAUUAUACAUGCCAUGUGCUUGUCAUAGUCUCAACCUCACUCUC